CUGGCUGUGGUCUGGCUAUUGGCUAGCUCUGAGAAACAAUGUUGGCCUUUGCUUUGUUAUACUGCAAUUAUAUUUUCCAGCUGUUCAGAAUUAUUUUCCUAUCUGGUCCUCAAAAAGUCACUGCACUUCUGGAAAAAUGGUGCAAAAUAUUCUUGCACUUUGGGUUCCUCUGAUGAUGAUUAGAUUUAUUUGUAGUCAAUGUACUUAAGUUAACAAUGUGAAAAAAAUUAACAUCUAUAUGCAGUAAUUUGACACAACAUAGCAUGAUGGCAACCGUUAUCUUUAGCUGUCACAAUUAAUCCUGUUAAGACAUUUCAUGACAUUUGUAUAUGCAAGUUUUAUUAAUAAAGCAUCUGUUGGUAACUGAGAGAAUAUCUUGCUGAUGCUGUACCUAUCCUAAGGGUCUGUAAUUAUAACCUUACUCCUUUCUGUUGAUGGACAUGUGAAUGCAAUCCAACCUGAUUAUAAAUACUGCUACUCGGAGACAGAAACAAUGUGCUUCACAUAGAAAGUGAGAGGGCUGGAGCUGUAUCAAAAUAGUUCCUCGUGACUCCAGGCCAGUAUGCUCUGGGGCAACCUUUGCUUAGUUUUCUAUUUCCUUUUGCUACCAAAAAAAAAAAAGUGACAAAAAUCAGAUUUCAGAUCUAUUGUUUGCCAGGCUCCUGCUGAGAACCUCCUGUUGGGGAAAUAAAGCUAAGCACACUGCUCCCUGUCAGCCUCUGUUACCUAGGUGUAGCAGUGGUCUGCCUCCUGUCUCUUCCUAUUAGGAGAGAGAAGCUCAUGAAGAAGCAAAGCGAGCCAGGGGAAGUGCCUCUUGAUAAAGCCCAGGUAAAGACUGUACUGAUCUAACCCUAAGAAACAAAAAGCCGAAUGCCCUAGUUGCCACUUGUCAGUCCAGGAAAAAGCAGGGGUGGUUCCCCACCACCUCCAUUCCAUCCUAUUACACAGGGACUCUUUGUGGUGAUAUGUUGCUAAGAGAACCCAUUGUAAGAACAAAAACUAUUAUCGCUGACUCAAGUUCCCCAGCAUUGUAUGCUGGCAAUGGUACAGUGGGACCCACUGCAUAUUCAUUGCUAUUAAAAAAAAAAAAAUAAAAAAA